UAGGGAAUCUUCGGCAAUGGACGAAAGUCUGACCGAGCAACGCCGCGUGAGUGAAGAAGGUUUUCGGAUCGUAAAACUCUGUUGUUAGAGAAGAACAAGGACGUUAGUAACUGAACGUCCCCUGACGGUAUCUAACCAGAAAGCCACGGCUAACUACGUGCCAGCAGCCGCGGUAAUACGUAGGUGGCAAGCGUUGUCCGGAUUUAUUGGGCGUAAAGCGAGCGCAGGCGGUUUCUUAAGUCUGAUGUGAAAGCCCCCGGCUCAACCGGGGAGGGUCAGUGGAAACUGGGAGACUUGAGUGCAGAAGAGGUGAGUGGAAUUCCAUGUGUAGCGGUGAAAUGCGUAGAUAUAUGGAGGAACACCAGUGGCGAAGGCGGCUCUCUGGUCUGUAACUGACGCUGAGGCUCGAAAGCGUGGGGAGCAAACAGG
rnacentral:rRNA from 1 species